UACGUAGGGUGCAAGCGUUAAUCGGAAUUACUGGGCGUAAAGCGUGCGCAGGCGGUUUUGUAAGUCUGUCGUGAAAUCCCCGGGCUCAACCUGGGAAUUGCGAUGGAGACUGCAAGGCUAGAAUCUGGCAGAGGGGGGUAGAAUUCCACGUGUAGCAGUGAAAUGCGUAGAGAUGUGGAGGAACACCGAUGGCGAAGGCAGCCCCCUGGGUCAAGAUUGACGCUCAUGCACGAAAGCCAGGGGAGCAAACGGG
rnacentral:rRNA from 1 species